GACAGGAGGAGCGAGUGUUAUUCAGAAUUAUUGGGCGUAAAGGGCAUGUAGGUGGAUAGUUGUUGUUGAUUGUGCCAUUCCAAUUGUUAGCAUUGGGUUUGCAAUCAAUACACUUUAUCUUGAGAUCAAAAGAGGAAGAUAGAAUUUCUAGUGGAGAGGUUAAAUUCUUAGAUAUUAGAAGGAAUAUCAAGUGCGAAGGCAAUCUUCUGGUUUGUAUCUGACACUGAGGUGCGAAAGCGUGGGGAGCAAACAGG
rnacentral:rRNA from 1 species